UGGCAAGGCUGACAUAGCUUUUGCUGAUUUGUCUGCUUAUGAGUGGACAGGAUGCCAGUCUGGCAGUCUGCAUUGGCAAUAAAUCACCACUAGACAUUUUAUUUAAAAUUUGGCACUGGCUUGGAAGAGGUGAGGGAUUGUCAAUUUGUUUUUAUUUUGAGGCCAGGCACAACCAUAACACAAACAGGCCACCUGGAAAC
ensembl:misc_RNA Gm56478 viral integration site 1